rnacentral:lncRNA from 1 species
UCAAAUUCAAAAUAUACCAAUUACAAAGAAUAUUAAUACCAUACAAUACGUUUACAUCCCAAUAAUACCAAACUAUCCAUACAUCUCAAAUUAACUUUUCAAUAUAAUUACUACUAUAUUGAAUUGUGAAUUUGACUACAUCCACAAAAUAUACCAAACUAUCCAUAAAAUUAAACUACUACCUAAUUAAACUAUCCAUAAAAUAUAAUACUUCUAAUGUACAAAAAACCCCAACCAAAUUGCAAGGCAAAAGCUAAACAAGCCUUCUUGCUCUCAGCCAGAAGUUUUUCUGCAGCAAGGAAGCAACAUGCAAAAGUAAUGUGGCAGGAUGGUUCAUUACCCUUAUCGAGGAUCAGGCCGUUAUAGUAGUAAACUGCAGCCUGAAAAUGGUACAUAAAUAUUAGUAUCAUUUGAACAAAAUAAUUGAAGAAGUUUUAGAGCUAGUACGAGUUAAAAAUCAACGUCCGAUAACCUUUAUAGAGCAUAUAGUUAAAAACAAAUAUAUACCCAAAGACAAUUUACAACAUAAGCAGUUCAUCACACUAAUUAGUAAAUGUACUGACAAUCAUAUGUACCGACAAUCAUAAGCAGUGGCAUUACCUGAUUGAAUGACUUGAAUCACUCCAAAAAAAAUGAAGGGUCGUCAUAUAGGCCCGGAGUGUGUGUGGCUAGAAUAGAAUACUAAACUUUUCUUCGAGCACGAUACCUAAAGAAAUAAAAGUACUCAACUUGUCUUCUAGCAUAUAGCAGUUUAAACACUGAUUCAAGAACACAAUUCUACCAUUUAUGAAGAUACAAUAUGUAGGGUUUCAACACAUAAAACGCAGCGGAAAUAGAACAAUUUAAAGCAAUUUCAAAACCCUAAACAGGAUCCAUGCGAAAACCAUAUUAAUUCAGUGGUUAGAAAUUUAUACCGAUUAUUGAAGCUGGAAUUGAUACAAUCGAAUCUCUAACGCAAUCCCAAUGAACUGCGCCUCUACAGUAUCCACACGAACGCCCCGUGAAUCGUCGUACGAUCUGCAGUAAAAGGAACUGCGGUACUAGCCACCAAAGAUGAGGAUUUUCAGAACUGUCUCUCUAGCCUCUCUUAGAGGCUAGGGUUUUGGUUAAUGAAUCAUUCCUAAAAUGGUUGCUACAUAUCAUAUAUAUAUAGUAAUUAAAAAACUUAAUCAAAACCUAAUUUAAUAAAAUCCGAAUUUAUAUAUAUAUAUAUAUAUAUAUAUAUAUAUCUUAAUUAAGUCUUAAUUAAUAUACCUAUAUAUAAAUUAUCCUAUUAAUUUAAAUUCGUAAUUUAAAUACUAUCAAUCAUAUUGACAUAUUUAAUUCUUUACAAUUUAAAUUAAUUUCCUUUUAAUUACGUUCUAUGUGUGUGACCCUAUAGGUUAUUAUUACGUUGGCAAUAAUUUUAAAAUCAUAUUAUGAAAUUAUAAACAGUGAGCGGCAUCUAGUAAUGCAUCACUGCUAUCCAAGUAAUAAUAAGAUCGAUGAUUCGAUGCAACCUUUUCGUGACCAAUGUUUCAAUGUAAUUUAAUCCUUUUAACCUUGACAUCCUAGAUUAAACUCGAGAUAUGGAAUGUUUCAUACUCUUCAUAAUUUAAUCUGUAUUUUCUUGAUCAAUGAGUAGACUAUAUGAAACAAAUCACUAUUUGAGCAUGGCCAUGCAUUUCAUAGUCCUACUUAAUCAAGAGACCUAUGAAUAUCACCCCUAAUAUAUAGAAGGGUUAAAUUCCAUCUAGAUCACUCAUAUUCCUCACACGAUUCAUAAUGUACCCAAUAAUCAUCUUUAUAGUCCACCCUAUUAAAGGUGAUUUGAUGAUAUCAAAGUACAUAAAUUCCCGUGUAGUAAUAUAGUGAUUUCAGGUCUAAAGACCAUUACAUCAUUGUCACUAUGAGAAUUGCUAAUGACACUUUGCUUACUGUUCCACGUAGAAUUCUCAUGGUGGACCUGUCCAGUACAUCGUUCUCUAACAUGUACCUAUGCAUUGACUUAAUAUCUCAUAUAUUUAUGACCAAUGAAAUUUGAUCAUCAGUCAAUCCACAUACUAGUCUCAAUGCAUAUCAUUGUUACUUGACUAGGAACAUUUAAGAACAAUGAUACUAAUUAUAAUUAUAUAAUCUCAUGUUCAAGUCACAUACUUGAAACUAUAUAAUUUGUAUCACUAUUCUAAAGAAUUUUAUUAUGUUAACAUUUAUAUAACGCAAUAAAUAAAACCAUAAUAAAAUCAUUCAUUUAUUCAAUCAAAUAUAAUAUCAAAAUGUUAAGCAAUUAUAUCAAAUAAUUGGCCUCUAGGGUAUAAACUAACACAAUAUGAGAAUAAUUUUUCUAGCAUGAACAAGUUAGGAAGAAACAACCAAACCAAGCAAAAGGCCAUAUUAUUAGUUAGUGCGAGUCUCACUAAUUUGCAUGCACAUCACAUAUACGUUCAGAACGAAGCUUGUGAAAGGCUUGUGCACCUAAAGGCCAUAUUAUUAGUGUUACACCUAUCAUUUCUGUCGAGGACUAAAAAUCAAUCUAAGGUUCUAUAGACCACAACGGAGAACUUCAAAAACCUCAACAACCACCCUAAGUAUACUUGAGAGAGGUUUGUGUGGACUGUGGCUGUGGCAGUCAAAGAAAUCCUAGCUGCUUGAUUAUCUUGUAUAGUCCUAAAAUCUGCUACACUAGCAAAAAAUUGGUUAGCAUGGAAUACAGUUUAUAGAAACAUAUUAAGGUAUAGCAUAGAAAUAGUGUCAACGCUGCGAAUUUGAGAAAAUAUUCCUUCUAUAAUUUUAAUUAUUAAAAAAAUACUUAUUCCAAAAUUACCAAAAACCACGAAUUGGGUGAGGGCAGAGGGGAGGAGAUAGGGAGAGCCUAGUCGGCAGUCGCUUUAAUAAAAUAAUGAAUGAAAUCAAAAACCUUGUAUUUGGCAGCUUUUUCACUCUUCACAAUAACAAAGUUAACAUCCAAUGAUGCUUUAGUAUGCAGCACACCUCCCAUAGAUGUCACCAACUUUCCAAUCUCAUCCUAUAAGACAAAAUUAGACCACAAUAAAUCAGGAGGCAUAAUCUGCGAUUUUAAGGAGGAACUGAGUAAAUCAUACAUUGCAGAAAUAAUGACAACUUAUACAACAUCUCCUCAAC